GACGAACGCUGGCGGCGUGCUUAACACAUGCAAGUCGAACGGUAAGGCCCUUCGGGGUACACGAGUGGCGAACGGGUGAGUAACACGUGGGUGAUCUGCCCUGCACUUCGGGAUAAGCCUGGGAAACUGGGUCUAAUACCGGAUAGGACUCCUGGCUUCAUGGAUGGGGGUGGAAAGCCUUUGCGGGGUGGGAUGGGAGCGCGGCCGAUCAGCUUGUGGGCGGGGUAAUGGCCUCUCAAGGCGACGAAGGGUAGCCGGCCUGAGAGGGUGAGCGGUCACACUGGGACUGAGAUACGGCCCAGACGCAGACGGGAGGCAGCAGUGGGGAAGAUCGCACAAGGGGCGCAAGCCAGAUGCGGCGACGCCGCGUGGGGGAUGACGGCAUGCUGGUUGUAAACCUCUUUCAGCUAGUACGGAGCGCAAGUGACGGUAGUAGCAUAAGAAGGACCGGCCAACUACGUGCCAGCAGCCGCCGUAAUAC
rnacentral:rRNA from 1 species